rnacentral:rRNA from 1 species
AAUCAACGCUGGCGGCGUGCCUCAGACAUGCAAGUCGAACGCGAAACCUUCCUUCGGGAGGGGAGUAGAGUGGCGCACGGGUGAGUAACACGUAGGUAAUUUGCCUUUGGGUGGGGAAUAACUCAGGGAAACUUGAGCUAAUACCGCAUAAUGCAGCGGCUCGACAUCGAGACAGUUGUUAAAGCGGGGGAUUCGCAAGAACCUCGCGCCUAAAGAGAAGCCUGCGGCAGAUAGCUAGUUGGUAAGGUAAUGGCUUACCAAGGCGACGAUCUGUAACCGGCCUGAGAGGGCGGUCGGUCACACUGACACUGACAUACGGGUCAGACUCCUACGGGAGGCAGCAGUCGGGAAUUUUGGGCAAUGGGCGAAAGCCUGACCCAGCAACGCCGCGUGAAGGAU